rnacentral:rRNA from 1 species
AACUCUUGGAUCACUCAGCUUGUGUGUCAAUGAAAAACAAAGCUAGCAGUGAGAUUUAAUGUGAAUUGCAAGAYAUAUUGAUCAUCAACACUUUGAACUAUUUAAGAAACAUGAAAACACAGCUUACAUUUCAUUAMUAUUUUAC